UGCGGAGGGAUCAUUACUGAGUACUACACUCUCUACCCUUUGUGAACUAUUAUACCUGUUGCUUCGGCGGCGCCCGCAAGGGUGCCCGCCGGUCUCAUCAGAAUCUCUGUUUUCGAACCCGACGAUACUUCUGAGUGUUCUUAGCGAACUGUCAAAACUUUUAACAACGGAUCUCUUGGCUCCAGCAUCGAUGAAGAACGCAGCGAAACGCGAUAUGUAAUGUGAAUUGCAGAAUUCAGUGAAUCAUCGAAUCUUUGAACGCACAUGGCGCCUUCCAGUAUCCUGGGAGGCAUGCCUGUCCGAGCGUCGUUUCAACCCUCGAGCCCCUGUGGCCCGGCGUUGGGGAUCUGCCACGGCAGGCCCCUAAAACCAGUGGCGGACCCGAAGGCCCUCUCCUUUGCGCAGUAGCAUCAGCCUCGCAUUGGGAUCCCUCGGCGUCCUGCCUCUAAACCCCCCACAAGUCCGCUCCGGCGGCACCAAGGUUGACCUCGGAUCAGGUAGGAAUACCCGCUGAACUUAAGCAUAUCA
rnacentral:rRNA from 1 species